GUUGUCCAGAUAAGAAUUUUAGUUCAACUUUAAAUUUACUACAAAAAUAUAUAAUUACACCGUAAAUUUAACUGUUAAUCUAAAGGGGUACAGCCCUUUAGACUAAGGAUACAACCUUAAUUAGAGAGUAAAUAUACUAAUAACCAUAGUUGGCCUAAAAGCAGCCAUCAAUUAAGAAAGCGUUCAAGCUCAACAAUAAUUAAUUCCUUAAUCCAAUGAUUAUAUAUUAACUCCUAACUUACUACUGGACUAAUCUAUUAAUCAAUAGAAGAAAUACUGUUAAUAUGAGUAACAAGAUUUGUAUCUCCUAGCACAGGCUUAUAUCAAACCGAAUAAUAACUGAUAGUUAACGGCCAAAUAAAUAUAAUCCCACAUAAACUAUUUAUUAACCCACCGUUAAUCCAACACAGGUGUGCAUAAAGGAAAGAUUAAAAGAAAUAAAAGGAACUCGGCAAACACAAACCCCGCCUGUUUACCAAAAACAUCACCUCUAGCAUUACUAGUAUUAGAGGCACUGCCUGCCCAGUGACAACUGUUUAACGGCCGCGGUAUCCUG
rnacentral:rRNA from 1 species